GUGGGGAAUAUUGGACAAUGGGGGGAACCCUGAUCCAGCCAUGCCGCGUGUGUGAAGAAGGCCUUUUGGUUGUAAAGCACUUUAAGCGAGGAGGAGGCUACCGAGAUUAAUACUCUUGGAUAGUGGACGUUACUCGCAGAAUAAGCACCGGCUAACUCUGUGCCAGCAGCCGCGGUAAUACAGAGGGUGCAAGCGUUAAUCGGAUUUACUGGGCGUAAAGCGCGCGUAGGUGGCCAAUUAAGUCAAAUGUGAAAUCCCCGAGCUUAACUUGGGAAUUGCAUUCGAUACUGGUUGGCUAGAGUAUGGGAGAGGAUGGUAGAAUUCCAGGUGUAGCGGUGAAAUGCGUAGAGAUCUGGAGGAAUACCGAUGGCGAAGGCAGCCAUCUGGCCUAAUACUGACACUGAGGUGCGAAAGCAUGGGGAGCAGACAGGAUUAGAAACCCUGGUAGUCC
rnacentral:rRNA from 1 species